CGACGAGUUCUCGUUGAUGAUCGGUGCUUGCACCGAGAUUCAACAUGGAACGAGUGGCGGACGGGUGAGUAACACGUGGGUAACCUGCCCUUAAGUGGGGGAUAACAUUUGGAAACAGAUGCUAAUACCGCAUAGAUCCAAGAACCGCAUGGUUCUUGGCUGAAAGAUGGCGUAAGCUAUCGCUUUUGGAUGGACCCGCGGCGUAUUAGCUAGUUGGUGAGGUAAUGGCUCACCAAGGCGAUGAUACGUAGCCGAACUGAGAGGUUGAUCGGCCACAUUGGGACUGAGACACGGCCCAAACUCCUACGGGAGGCAGCAGUAGGGAAUCUUCCACAAUGGACGCAAGUCUGAUGGAGCAACGCCGCGUGAGUGAAGAAGGCUUUCGGGUCGUAAAACUCUGUUGUUGGAGAAGAAUGGUCGGCAGAGUAACUGUUGCCGGCGUGACGGUAUCCAACCAGAAAGCCACGGCUAACUACGUGCCAGCAGCCGCGGUAAUACGUAGGUGGCAAGCGUUAUCCGGAUUUAUUGGGCGUAAAGCGAGCGCAGGCGGUUUUUUAAGUCUGAUGUGAAAGCCCUCGGCUUAACCGAGGAAGCGCAUCGGAAACUGGGAAACUUGAGUGCAGAAGAGGACAGUGGAACUCCAUGUGUAGCGGUGAAAUGCGUAGAUAUAUGGAAGAACACCAGUGGCGAAGGCGGCUGUCUGGUCUGUAACUGACGCUGAGGCUCGAAAGCAUGGGUAGCGAACAGGAUUAGAUACCCUGGUAGUCCAUGCCGUAAACGAUGAAUGCUAGGUGUUGGAGGGUUUCCGCCCUUCAGUGCCGCAGCUAACGCAUUAAGCAUUCCGCCUGGGGAGUACGACCGCAAGGUU
rnacentral:rRNA from 1 species